CGCUGGCGGCGUGCCUAACACAUGCAAGUCGAGCGGAGUUAACAAGAGGAAGUUUCGGAUGGAAUUUGUUAAUUAGCGGCGGACGGGUGAGUAACGCGUGAGCGACCAACCUUGCACAGGGGGAUAACGGACCGAAAGGUUCACUAAUACCGCAUGAGACCACGGUGUUGCAUGACACAGAGGUCAAAGGAGCAAUCCGGUGCAAGACGGGCUCGCGUCCGAUUAGGUAGUUGGUGGGGUAACGGCCCACCAAGCCUAUGAUCGGUAGCCGACCUGAGAGGGUGAUCGGCCACAUUGGAACUGAGAUACGGUCCAAACUCCUACGGGAGGCAGCAGUGGGGAAUAUUGGGCCAAUGGGGGAAACCCUGACCCAGCAACGCCGCGUGAAGGAAGAAGGUUUUCGGAUUGUAAACUUCUGUCCUUGGUGAAGAGAAGAAGACGGUAGCCAAGGAGGAAGCCCCGGCUAACUACGUGCCAGCCGCCGC
rnacentral:rRNA from 1 species